CUACGGGCGGCAGCAGUGGGGAAUAUUGCGCAAUGGGCGAAAGCCUGACGCAGCAACGCCGUGUGAGGGAUGAAGGCUUUCGGGUCGUAAACCUCUGUCAGAAGGGAAGAACGGGUAUUGGUCUAAUAGGCCUUUAUUUUGACGGUACCUUCAGAGGAAGCACCGGCUAACUCCGUGCCAGCAGCCGCGGUAAUACGGAGGGUGCAAGCGUUAUUCGGAAUUACUGGGCGUAAAGCGCACGUAGGCCGCUUUGUAAGUCAGGGGUGAAAUCCCACGGCUCAACCGUGGAACUGCCUUGGAAACUGCAGAGCUUGAAUCCUGGAGAGGGUGGCGGAAUUCCUGGUGUAGGAGUGAGAUCCGUAGAUAUCAGGAGGAACACCGGUGGCGAAGGCGGCCACCUGGACAGGUAUUGACGCUGAGGUGCGAAAGUGUGGGGAGCAAACAGGAUUAGAUACCCGUGUAGUC
rnacentral:rRNA from 1 species